rnacentral:rRNA from 1 species
ACGAACGCUGGCGGCACGCUUAACACAUGCAAGUCGAACGAGAGAAGAGGAGCUUGCUUUUCUGAUCUAGUGGCGGACGGGUGAGUAACACGUGAGCAAUCUGCCUUUCAGAGGGGGAUACCGAUUGGAAACGAUCGUUAAUACCGCAUAACAUAAUUGAACCGCAUGAUUUGAUUAUCAAAGAUUUAUCGCUGAAAGAUGAGCUCGCGUCUGAUUAGCUAGUUGGUAAGGUAACGGCUUACCAAGGCGACGAUCAGUAGCCGGACUGAGAGGUUGAUCGGCCACAUUGGGACUGAGACACGGCCCAGACUCCUACGGGAGGCAGCAGUGGGGAAUAUUGCACAAUGGAGGAAACUCUGAUGCAGCGAUGCCGCGUGAGGGAAGAAGGUUUUAGGAUUGUAAACCUCUGUCUUCAGGGACGAAAAAAGACGGUACCUGAGGAGGAAGCUCCGGCUAACUACGUGCCAGCAGCCGCGGUAAUACGUAGGGAGCGAGCGUUGUCCGGAAUUACUGGGUGUAAAGGGAGCGUAGGCGGGAUCGCAAGUCAGAUGUGUAAACUAUGGGCUUAACCCAUAAACUGCAUUUGAAACUGUGGUUCUUGAGUGAAGUAGAGGUAAGCGGAAUUCCUAGUGUAGCGGUGAAAUGCGUAGAUAUUAGGAGGAACAUCAGUGGCGAAGGCGGCUUACUGGGCUUUAACUGACGCUGAGGCUCGAAAGCGUGGGGAGCAAACAGGAUUAGAUACCCUGGUAGUCCACGCCGUAAACGAUGAUUACUAGGUGUGGGGGGACUGACCCCUUCCGUGCCGCAGCAAACGCAAUAAGUAAUCCACCUGGGGAGUACGACCGCAAGGUUGAAACUCAAAGGAAUUGACGGGGGCCCGCACAAGCAGUGGAGUAUGUGGAUUAAUUCGAAGCAACGCGAAGAACCUUACCAGGUCUUGACAUCGUAUGCAUAGCUCAGAGAUGAGUGAAAUCUCUUCGGAGACAUAUAGACAGGUGGUGCAUGGUUGUCGUCAGCUCGUGUCGUGAGAUGUUGGGUUAAGUCCCGCAACGAGCGCAACCCUUACUGUUAGUUGCUACGCAAGAGCACUCUAGCAGGACUGCCGUUGACAAAACGGAGGAAGGUGGGGAUGACGUCAAAUCAUCAUGCCCCUUAUGACCUGGGCCUCACACGUACUACAAUGGCUGUCAACAGAGGGAAGCAAAGCCGCGAGGUGGAGCAAACCCCUAAAAGCAGUCUUAGUUCGGAUUGUAGGCUGCAACCCGCCUACAUGAAGUCGGAAUUGCUAGUAAUCGCAGAUCAGCAUGCUGCGGUGAAUACGUUCCCGGGCCUUGUACACACCGCCCGUCACGCCAUGGGAGUCGGUAACACCCGAAGCCUGUAGUCUAACCGCAAGGAGGACGCAGUCGAAGGUGGGAUUGAUGACUGGGGUG